UGGGGAAUUUUGGACAAUGGGGGAAACCCUGAUCCAGCCAUCCCGCGUGUGCGAUGAAGGCCCUCGGGUUGUAAAGCACUUUUGGCAGGAAAGAAACGUCAUGGGUUAAUACCCCGUGAAACUGACGGUACCUGCAGAAUAAGCACCGGCUAACUACGUGCCAGCAGCCGCGGUAAUACGUAGGGUGCAAGCGUUAAUCGGAAUUACUGGGCGUAAAGCGUGCGCAGGAGGUUCGGAAAGAAGGAUGUGAAAUCCCAGAGCUCAACUUUGGAACUGCAUUUUUAAGUAACGGGCUAGAGUGUGUCAGAGGGAGGGGGAAUACCGCGUGUAGCAGUGAAAUGCGAAGGAAGGCGGAGGAAAACCGAUGGCGAAGGCAGCCUCCUGGGAUAACACUGACGCUAAUGCACGAAAGCGUGGGGAGCAAACAGG
rnacentral:rRNA from 1 species